GACGAACGCUGGCGGCGUGCUUAACACAUGCAAGUCGAACGAGAAUCUACUGAAAGAGUUUUCGGACAAUGGAUGUAGAGGAAAGUGGCGGACGGGUGAGUAACGCGUGAGGAACCUGCCUUGAAGAGGGGGACAACAGUUGGAAACGACUGCUAAUACCGCAUGACGCAUAGAGGUCGCAUGAUCUUUAUGCCAAAGAUUUAUCGCUAAGAGGUCGGCCCGCGGUAGAUUAGGCAGUUGGUGGGGUAAAGGCCUACCAAACCUACGAUCUAUAGCUGGUCUGAGAGGAUGAACGGCCACAUUGGGACUGAGAUACGGCCCAGACUCCUACGGAGGCAGCAGUGGGGAAUAUUGGGCAAUGGGGGAAACCCUGACCCAGCAACGCCGCGUGAAGGAAGAAAGGCCUUCGGGUUGUAAACUCUUUUACCAGGUACGAAGGACGUGACGGUACCU
rnacentral:rRNA from 1 species